rnacentral:rRNA from 1 species
UGCUUGCACAGAUGACGACCGGCGCACGGGUGCGUAACGCGUAUAGAACCUACCUUUUACAGAGGAAUAGCCUUUAGAAAUGAAGAUUAAUGCCUCAUGGUAUUGUAGACUGGCAUCAGUUUAUAAUUAAAGAUUUAUCGGUAAAAGAUGGCUAUGCGUCCUAUUAGUUAGUUGGUAAGGUAACGGCUUACCAAGACAGCGAUAGGUAGGGGUCCUGAGAGGGAGAUCCCCCACACUGGUACUGAGACACGGACCAGACUCCUACGGGAGGCAGCAGUGAGGAAUAUUGGACAAUGGAGGAGACUCUGAUCCAGCCAUGCCGCGUGUAGGAAGAAUGCCCUAUGGGUUGUAAACUACUUUUAUACAGGAAGAAACACUGGUAUGUAUACCAGCUUGACGGUACUGUAAGAAUAAGGACCGGCUAACUCCGUGCCAGCAGCCGCGGUAAUACGGAGGGUCCGAGCGUUAUCCGGAAUCAUUGGGUUUAAAGGGUCCGCA